AACGAACGCUGGCGGCAUGCCUAACACAUGCGAGUCGAACGAGACCUUCGGGUCUAGUGGCGCACGGGUGCGUAACGCGUGGGAACCUGCCCUUAGGUUCGGAAUAACUCCCCGAAAGGGGUGCUAAUACCGGAUAAUGUCUUCGGACCAAAGAUUUAUCGCCUUUGGAUGGGCCCGCGUUGGAUUAGCUAGUUGAUAGGGUAAAAGCCUACCAAGGCGACGAUCCAUAGCUGGUCUGAGAGGAUGAUCAGCCACACUGGGACUGAGACACGGCCCAGACUCCUACGGGAGGCAGCAGUGGGGAAUAUUGGACAAUGGGCGAAAGCCUGAUACAGCAAUGCCGCGUGAGUGAUGAAGGCCUUAGGGUUGUAAAGCUCUUUUACCCGGGAUGAUAAUGACAGUACCGGGAGAAUAAGCACCGGCUAACUCCGUG
rnacentral:rRNA from 1 species